ensembl:lncRNA
GUGCAGCUUACAUGCAAUGUUUAUUGUUGUACAUUUUGGCAAAUAUAGUAAUGUAUUAUUACUUAUAAAAUGCAUACUGUGCACAGUAGUAUGUUGGUGUAUGAUUCUGUUCUUCACUGCAUUUCAGUACUAUUUUAAAUUAUUCUGGGUUUUUUUUUUCACGCUCUAUUGGACUUUUCUUUGCAGUCGGCUCCUUCUUCGUCUGCCUCCUCAUACUCGUGCAUGCUGCCUCCAUCCCCGUCUGCCCCUCGUUCGUUUGAGACAUCAUACUCCUCUCCCCAUCUACCACCUCCUCCUUCAGCUAACACCAGCACAGGUUUGAUUUCUCCAGGCGUUUCUGUACCUGUCCAGGUACCAGGAAAUGAUCAAAAUAUGGGGCAGUAUUGGGCCAGACUGUAGUGAAAAGAAAAGGCGAGGUAGAAUUUGCAUUAGAAUACUAAAUAUGUAUGUUUACAAAAGGUCAGAAACAAAGAAAUUGUUCUAAACUCUGAGAAAAAUAAUCCUCUGUUAGUUAAACCUAUGAACAAAAUUCCUUAAUUUGAUUUAUUUUAGCCAUAGUAUUAGAUCUGAUGACAGUGUGCUAUAUUUUCUUCCAUUCAAUUUCGGACAAACAGGAAUGUAUAUGAUGAAGCAUUGUGCAAUGACAUUCGUGACGGUAUUUUUUUAGCAAAUGUCUCUUCAGAAUCAUUGUAAUAAGUUCCUGGUGUCAACUUCACAGAAUUGGGAAUCAUAGUAUGAUGUUUUAAUAACAUACCUGUGGUUUUAGCUUCUUUCAUGAUAAUUCCUAAUUUCUCCACUGUAAUUUUCUCUAAAGUCAUUUGUUUAUUUUCAUAAUCAGAUAUGUGAUAUCACUUUAUGAAAUGUUUUUGACCUUACCCUUUCACAAACCUCAGUAAGCUUGUGACAAUCAAGGCAUAAGGCCAAGUUCAAUCAGAGCAGGGACUGAAAGCCAGUCAUAUUUGCACUUAAUCAAUGACCAGUAAACAGCUGUUUGACUUAAACAAUCACAUCAAUGAAUACUUUAUGCAAAAAUCUCCAGCAUAUCUUAUCUGGCAAGCCAAAGUAUUUAUAUUGAACAUAGUGUCAUACAGUAUAUAUAUUUAUGACUCUGAAAAAAUGUUUGAAUAUUAGGAAACUGUCUCUGUGCUUAAACUACAGUUUAUGGAUUUUUUUUGUUUUAUGAAUUUAAAGACAUUCUGUGUGUGUGUGUGUGUGUGUGUGUGUGUGUGUGUGUGAAGGAGAGCGAGAGAGAAAUAAGGAUUUACAAUGAGGUAUGAAAGCAUUAGUGAAAUUGCUUCUUUUCAUUCUUUGAAAAUUAACAACACUUUUUUUUUUAUUUAAAUUUUAUUAGCACAGAAAAGUUGAACUGAAAAAUCAACAUUAAUUUCAGACUGUUCAGAAUCUUGCUUUUUAUUUAAUGACAGCCACGCUUAAAGGAAUGGUUCACCAAAAAUGAAAAUCUGCUAAAAAUUUGCUCAUCCUCAGGUCAUCCAAGAUGUAGAUGAGUUUUUCUUCACUGGAGCAGGUUUGGAGAAAUGUAGCAUUGCAUCACUUGCUCACCGGUGAAUCCUCUGCAGUGAAUGGGUGCCGUCAGAAUGAGAGUCCAAACAGCUGAUAAAAACAUCACAAUAUUCUGCAAGUAAUCCACACCACUCCAGUCCAUCAGUUAAUGAAUUGUGAAUUGAAAAGCUGUGUUUUUGUGAGAAACAAAUCCACCAUUAAUGUGUUUUAGCUUUAAACUGUUUCUCCUGGACAGAAUUCGAGUCCAUAAUUGAUAGACAUUAAUUGAUGUAUUUGAGUUGUGUGGAUUACUGUUAUGUUUUUAUGCUAAAUUUCUCUUAUUUCUCUAUUCCUUUAAACUGGUAUUUUAAAAUAUUUUGAUGUCAAUUUCUGACCCUACUGUACUGUAUGUGGAUGCUGUGUUCACUCAAGAUAGUCAACCUACUUCAUGUAUGCAUUAAACCCUUUAAUAAAAUAUAUAUUGUAUCUUACA